UACUUAGCUAAUCUAGCAUUUGAGCAUGAGAAGUUCAUAUUUACAGCAUUCAACCAGCUACGAAGCUUAAGUAGAAAGAUACUUAACAGUGACAAGCAACAAUGCCCAUAUCUGAGGUUAAUUUUAGCAAAAGGAUAAGGGGACUGGAAGGGCUACAACAAGGUCUUUCACAUACAACAUAUUUACAACCAGGGAGACUAAAGAAAAAAGUGAAUGUGCUAGUUAACUAUCUACACCAGCCAACAAAAGGGAAUCUCAGUAGAUUGGGGGUCACCAAGUCAGAUAAGAUUCAAGCGAAUAAGCUACUUGUUCCUUUUCAACUAUCAGCGGGUCCGAGGAUCCUAUUAUCUCCCUCCCAGCUAUAGCUACACAUGGAAAAUAAGUAAAUGAUUAAAUGCAACAUACAGUUCAAGCAAUAAGCACAUAAAUGCAAAUGACUUACUAGAAGAAGGAAGCAAGGUUUAAAAGAUGAGACGCCGUGUGUUAGUACCAAAAAGAAUUGGAAACAUACUAAACAUUUCAACUGAUACAGUAACAAAUAAAGAAUCAAAAAGGCUCUAAGUAAAUAACACCAAACAUAGCAAGAAGGGAAGAAACUCACUCAUGCAAGCUGGAAUCCUCAUCUUGGUGCAACUAGGGUACGGUGUUCACCACCCAAAGCUGAAGAAGAAGGAAUUGAAGAUUGGUGAAGUUGAACAUGAAGAAGGAGAUGGAGAAAGGGGGAUCUCAG
rnacentral:lncRNA from 1 species